GAUGAACGCUAGCGGGAGGCCUAACACAUGCAAGCCGAGCGGUAGAGAUUCUUCGGAAUCUUGAGAGCGGCGUACGGGUGCGGAACACGUGUGCAACCUACCUUUAUCUGGAGGAUAGCCUUUCGAAAGGAAGAUUAAUACUCCAUAAUAUAUUGAUUGGCAUCAAUUGAUAUUGAAAGCUCCGGCGGAUAGAGAUGGGCACGCGCAAGAUUAGUUAGUUGGUGAGGUAACGGCUCACCAAGACGAUGAUCUUUAGGGGCCUGAGAGGGUGAUCCCCACACUGGUACUGAGACACGGACCAGACUCCUACGGGAGGCAGCAGUGAGGAAUAUUGGUCAAUGGGUGCAAGCCUGAACCAGCCAUCCCGCGUGAAGGACGACUGCCCUAUGGGUUGUAAACUUCUUUGUAUAGGGAUAAACCUACCCUCGUGAGGUAGCUGAAGGUACUAUACGAAUAAGCACCGGCUAACUCCGUGCCAGCAGCCGCGGUAAU
rnacentral:rRNA from 1 species